CCCGGGAAACUGGGUCUAAUACCGGAUAUGACUUUUGACCGCAUGGUUGAGGGUGGAAAGAUUUAUCGGUUGGGGAUGGACUCGCGGCCUAUCAGCUUGUUGGUGAGGUAAUGGCUCACCAAGGCGACGACGGGUAGCCGGCCUGAGAGGGUGACCGGCCACACUGGGACUGAGACACGGCCCAGACUCCUACGGGAGGCAGCAGUGGGGAAUAUUGCACAAUGGGCGCAAGCCUGAUGCAGCGACGCCGCGUGAGGGAUGACGGCCUUCGGGUUGUAAACCUCUUUCAGUAGGGAAGAAGCGAAAGUGACGGUACCUGCAGAAGAAGCGCCGGCUAACUACGUGCCAGCAGCCGCGGUAAUACGUAGGGCGCAAGCGUUAUCCGGAUUUAUUGGGCGUAAAGAGCUCGUAGGCGGUUUGUCGCGUCUAUCGUGAAAGUCCGAGGCUCAACCUCGGAUCUGCGGUGGGUACGGGCAGACUAGAGUGAUGUAGGGGAGACUGGAAUUCCUGGUGUAGCGGUGAAAUGCGCAGAUAUCAGGAGGAACACCGAUGGCGAAGGCAGGUCUCUGGGCAUUUACUGACGCUGAGGAGCGAAAGCAUGGGGAGCGAACAGGAUUAGAUACCCUGGUAGUCCAUGCCGUAAACGUUGGGCACUAGGUGUGGGGGACAUUCCACGUUUUCCGCGCCGUAGCUAACGCAUUAAGUGCCCCGCCUGGGGAGUACGGCCGCAAGGCUAAAACUCAAAGGAAUUGACGGGGGCCCGCACAAGCGGCGGAGCAUGCGGAUUAAUUCGAUGCAACGCGAAGAACCUUACCAAGGCUUGACAUGUUCCAGAUCGCCUCAGAGAUGGGGUUUCCCUUCGGGGCUGGUUCACAGGUGGUGCAUGGUUGUCGUCAGCUCGUGUCGUGAGAUGUUGGGUUAAGUCCCGCAACGAGCGCAACCCUCGUUCCAUGUUGCCAGCGGGUUAUGCCGGGGACUCAUGGGAGACUGCCGGGGUCAACUCGGAGGAAGGUGGGGAUGACGUCAAAUCAUCAUGCCCCUUAUGUCUUGGGCUUCACGCAUGCUACAAUGGCCGGUACAAUGGGUUGCGAUACUGUGAGGUGGAGCUAAUCCCUAAAAGCCGGUCUCAGUUCGGAUUGGGGUCUGCAACUCGACCCCAUGAAGUCGGAGUCGCUAGUAAUCGCAGAUCAGCAACGCUGCGGU
rnacentral:rRNA from 1 species